rnacentral:rRNA from 1 species
AUACGGAGGGUGCGAGCGUUAAUCGGAAUUACUGGGCGUAAAGCGCGCGCAGGCGGCUGGGUCAGUCGGAUGUGAAAGCCCCGGGCUUAACCUGGGAGUUGCAUUCGAUACUGCCCGGCUAGAGUAUGGGAGAGGGAAGUGGAAUUUCCGGUGUAGCGGUGAAAUGCGUAGAUAUCGGAAGGAACACCAGUGGCGAAGGCGGCUUCCUGCCCCAAUACUGACGCUCAGGUGCGAAAGCGUGGGGAGCAAACAGGAUUAGAAACCCCUGUAGUCC